UUUCCCUGGAAAAGGAAGGAGUACGAUCAUCAUCUUAUGGAACGGGAUUAGCUUUUGCUAAAAUUUAGAAAAUUGAUCAAGCGGGCUAAGCAAUUCUAUCUUCAGGCUAAACUCUUCUGAUAGCACAGGUUCAGGAGAAAGGGUUUCCCCUCUAUCAGACACAACAAAAGGGUUAGCAACGGUGGUAGCCAACCAAAGAGCAUAUGAAAAAUAGCGGUGACGAGGCAUUAAUGUGGGCAUGCAAUCCUUCAUUAAUCCAAAGUCAUGUACGAAACACUAGCUUGUUAGGAGACGAAAAUCAGG